CUGCUUUCUCUUUUUUUAAUUAAUAGGUAUAGGAAGAUGUGGUGUGAGUGCCAAUGAGACAACUCUCCAUCCAAAUAAAAAUUUAAACAAAAGUAAACCAUUAUAGGUCAAUAUACGGCCUUCAACACGGAGCCUUGGCUCACACCGAACAACAAGCUAUACAGGGCCCCAAAAUUACUAGUGUAAAACCAUUCAAACGGGAAAGCCAACGGUCUAAUCUAUAUUAAAUAAAAAAAAAAAAACGAGAAACGAGAAACACGUAUACAUUACAUAAACAAAUGAC
rnacentral:lncRNA from 1 species